rnacentral:rRNA from 1 species
AAUGAACGUUGGCGGCGUGGAUUAGGCAUGCGAGUCGAGCGAGAACCGUAGCAAUACGGGGACAGCGGCGAAAGGGACAGUAACGGGUAGAUUAUCUGCCCUCAGGUUUGGGAUAGCUGCGGGAAACUGCAAGUAAUACCAAAUAAUAUCUCCGGAUCAAAGGUGUGAUUCCGCCUGAGGAUGAGUCUGCCUCCUAUUAGCUUGUUGGUGGGGUAACGGCCUACCAAGGCAUUGAUGGGUAGCGGGUGUGAGAGCACGACCCGCGUCAUUGGGACUGAGACACUGCCCGGAAACCUACGGGUGGCUGCAGUCGAGAAUCUUCGGCAAUGGACGCAAGUCUGACCGAGCGACGCCGCGUGUGGGAUGAAGGCCUUCGGGUUGUAAACCACUGUCAGAGGGGAUGAAAUGCAGGUGGGUACUCCCAUUUGUUUGACAUAGCCUCAGAGGAAGUACGGGCUAAGUUCGUGCCAGCAGCCGCGGUAA